rnacentral:tRNA from 1 species
GGUUGGAUGGCCGAGUGGUCUAAGGCGUCAGAUUUAGGCUCUGAUCUCUCCGGAGGCGAGGGUUCGAACCCCUCUUCAAUCA